GCCUAAAGCGUCCGUAGCCUGCUUUGUAAGUUUCCGGUUAAAUCCAUUAGCUCAACUAAUGGGCCGCCGGAAAAACUGCAAAGCUAGGGAGUGGGAGAGGUAGACGGUACUCGGUAGGAAGGGGUAAAAUCCUUUGAUCUAUUGAUGACCACCUGUGGCGAAGGCGGUCUACCAGAACACGUUCGACGGUGAGGGAUGAAAGCUGGGGGAGCAAACCGGAUUAGAUACCCGGGUAGUCCCAGCUGUAAACGAUGCAGACUCGGUGAUGCGCUGGCUUGUGGCUAGUGCAGUGCCGCAGGGAAGCCGUUAAGUUUGCCGCCUGGGAAGUACGUACGCAAGUAUGAAACUUAAAGGAAUUGGCGGGGGAGCACCACAAGGGGUGAAGCCUGCGGUUCAAUUGGAGUCAACGCCAGAAAUCUUACCCGAGGAGACAGCAGAAUGAAGGUCAAGCUGGAGACUUUACCAGACAAGCUGAGAAGUGGUGCAUGGCCGUCGCCAGCUCGUGCCGUGAGAUGUCCUGUUAAGUCAGGUAACGAGCGAGAUCCCUGCCUCUAGUUGCCACCAUUACUCUCAGGAGUAGUGGGGCGAAUUAGCGGGACCGCCACAGUUAAUGUGGAGGAAGGAAGGGGCCACGGCAGGUCAGUAUGCCCCGAA
rnacentral:rRNA from 1 species